CUGUAGCCAAUUAAGCCAACUAUUCUCCUUUCCCCAUAGCGGCCCAGUCUGCAGUGGCUGCAGACUGUGGCCUCCUUGGUAGUGGACACAGACUGUUGCUUGUAUGCAUUGCCUUAAGGGACCUUGGAGACAGCC